UGAAGAGCGACUUGAUCCAGCUGAGGAUAUAAUUUCUGAAGAGAAUGUGGCAGCAUCACUCUCCUCUUCAGCGGGCAUUUGCAGAAAUGCGACGGACAUUCAUACAGGGAAUGUGUCUGCAACACCAACUUCGUCUGGUACUCGCACGUUUUGAACAAUGGCACGACAACAUUUAACUCCAUUCCCAAAGAGUUACAGUGUGUGAUGGUUUACAAAUGUAUACCUUAUUUUUUAUAUUUGGAAGUAUUUUUAGAUGCACACCAAACUUUCACAGCUGACAUUUAGA